UGAAUACGAGACGCUACGGCGUCGAAGCAGUCUAUGUCAUACUUCCAAGAAAAGCUCGCAAUGUCAUAAACAAAUAAUGCCUGUACCAUAACCGACACAGGUGGGUAGGUAGAGUAUACUAAGGGGCGCGAGAUAACUCUCUCUAAGGAACUCGGCAAAAUGACUCCGUAACUUCGGGAGAAGGAGUGCCUUAUUUAUAAGGUUGCAAUAACAAGAUCCAAGCAACUGUUUAUCAAAAACACAGGUCUCCGCUAAGUCGUAAGACGAUGUAUGGGGGCUGACGCCUGCCCAGUGCCAGAAGGUUAAAGAAGUUGGUUAGCAUUCGCGAAGCUGAUAACUGAAGCCCUGGUGAACGGCGGCCGUAACAAUAACGGUCCUAAGGUAGCGAAAUUCCUUGUCGGGUAAGUUCCGACCCGCACGAAAGGCGUAAUGAUUUGGAUACUGUCUCGGAGAGGGGCUCGGUGAAAUAGACUUGUCUGUGAAGAUGCGGACUACCUGCACCUGGACAGAAAGACCCUAUGAAGCUUUACUGUAACUUGAAAUUGAAAUUGGACUUUAUUUGCGCAGCAUAGGUGGGAGGCGUUGAGAGUAUUCUUGCGGGAAUAUUGGAGCCAUCAGUGAGAUACCACUCUUGUAAUGUUAGAUUUCUAACUUUGGAUCAUUAUCUGGUCAAAGAACAGUUUCAGGCGGGCAGUUUGACUGGGGCGGUCGCCUCCCAAAUGGUAACGGAGGCGUACAAAGGUUUCCUCUGAACGGGUAGAAAUCGUAUCUAGAGUGUAAAGGCAUAAGGAAGCUUGACUGUGAGACCUACAAGUCGAGCAGGGACGAAAGUCGGUCUUAGUGAUCUGACGGUGCUGAGUGGAAAGGCCGUCACUCAACGGAUAAAAGUUACUCUAAGGAUAACAGGCUGAUCUCCCCCAAGAGUUCACAUCGACGGGGAGGUUUGGCACCUCGAUGUCGGCUCAUCGCAUCCUGGGGCGGUAGUACGUCCCAAGGGUUGGGCUGUUCGCCCAUGAAAGCGGUACGCGAGCUGGGUUCAGAACGUCGUGAGACAGUUCGGUCCAUAUCCGGUGUAGGCGUUAGAAUAUUGAGAGGAGCCUUCUUUAGUACGAGAGGACCGAGAAGGACAUACCUCUGGUGUACCAGUUAUCGUGCCAACGGUAAACGCUGGGUAGCUAUGUAUGGAGAGGAUAACCGCUGAAAGCAUCUAAGUGGGAAGCCCACCUCAAGAUAAG
rnacentral:rRNA from 1 species